UCCCUACGGGAGGCAGCAGUGGGGAAUAUUGCACAAUGGGGGGAACCCUGAUGCAGCGACGCCGCGUGAGUGAAGAAGUAUUUCGGUAUGUAAAGCUCUAUCAGCAGGGAAGAUAAUGACGGUACCUGACUAAGAAGCCCCGGCUAACUACGUGCCAGCAGCCGCGGUAAUACGUAGGGGGCAAGCGUUAUCCGGAUUUAUUGGGUUUAAAGGGGGCGCAGGCGGUCUGUUAAGUCAGCGGUCAAAGCCCGGGGGUCAACCCCGGCCCGCCGUUGCAACUGGCAGUCUCGAGGUGG
rnacentral:rRNA from 1 species